AUUGAACGCUGGCGGCAUGCCUUACACAUGCAAGUCGAACGGCAGCACGGGAGCAAUCCUGGUGGCGAGUGGCGAACGGGUGAGUAAUGUAUCGGAACGUGCCCAGUCGUGGGGGAUAACGUAGCGAAAGCUACGCUAAUACCGCAUACGAUCUGUGGAUGAAAGCGGGGGACCGUAAGGCCUCGCGCGAUUGGAGCGGCCGAUAUCAGAUUAGGUAGUUGGUGGGGUAAAGGCCUACCAAGCCGACGAUCUGUGGCUGGUCUGAGAGGGCGGACAGCCACACUGGGACUGAGACACGGCCCAGACUCCUACGGGAGGCAGCAGUGGGGAAUUUUGGACAAUGGGCGCAAGCCUGAUCCAGCAAUGCCGCGUGCAGGAUGAAGGCCUUCGGGUUGUAAACUGCUUUUGUACGGAGCGAAAAGGCUCUCUCUAAUACAGGGGGCUCAUGACGGUACCGUAAGAAUAAGCACCGGCUAACUACGUGCCAGCCGCCGCAGUAACAC
rnacentral:rRNA from 1 species